AAUAUACAAGAACAAGACGGGGAAGAAAACAAAAGUGUUACAAUAAAACCAGAAGGAAUGAUAAACCGUGAAGACACAACCAGUAAAAUACAUAGCGUAAAAGAAUAUAAUGUCUCAAGGUCAACUUGUAGUCCAGAUAUUUCUGCAACUCUUGCGAAAACCUCUAAAAAACAAGAGGAUGUGCAAAACUGCGAUAAAUUAACGAUACCAACUAGUACACAAACUGAAUGGUGUAAUAUUCUGGUAGAAGCGAGGUGUAAUGAAGAAGGAAACUAUUCUUUCCAUUUACCAUCAAUAGAAAAAUUAAAAGAAUUUAAUUUAUAACAUU